GACGAACGCUGGCGGCGGGCUUAACACAUGCAAGUCGAACGGAAAGGCCCUGCUUUCGUGGGGUGCUCGAGUGGCGAACGGGUGAGUAACACGUGAGUAACCUGCCCUUGACUUUGGGAUAACUUCAGGAAAGUGGGGCUAAUACAGGAUAGGAGCUGCUGCUGCAGGGUGGGGGUUGGAAAGUUGCGGCGGUUGGGGAUGGAUGCGCGGCUGAUCAGCUUGUUGGUGGGGGAGUGGCUUACCAAGGCAUUGACGGGUCGCCGGCCUGAGAGGGUGACCGGCCACCAUGGUACUGCGAUACGGCCCAGACGCGUACGUGAGGCAGCAGGGGGGAACAUUGCACAAUGGGCGCAAGCCGGUGGCGGCAGCGCCGCGGGCGGGAUGACGGCCUUUGGGUAGUAAACCGCUUUCGCCUGUUACGAAGCGGGAGUGACGGUAAUGGGUAAAGAAGCACCGGCUAACUACGUG
rnacentral:rRNA from 1 species